UGAAAAAUUUAUUUUAAAUUUAUUUUACAUAUAAAUUUUAGUGUUAAUUAUUCUUUAUUUAAAUAAUUAAGAAAUGUUUUAUAUAGUAAUUAAUAUUAAAAAUUUAAGAAAUUAAGAUUUAGUAAUAUGGGAAUUAAUAACAAAUUUUGUGCCAGCAGUUGCGGUUAUACAAAAGUUAAAUUAAAUUUUAUUGGUAAUUAAUUAAUGAAUUUAGAUUAUAAGUAAAAUUUUAAAUUAUUAGGUGAAAUUUUAAUUUAAUUAAAACUUAUUAAAAUUUAUGAUUUAAUAAUUUUUAUAAUAAACUAGGAUUAGAUACCCUAUUAUUGAUUUUUAAAUUAAAAAUACUAAAAUAGUAAAUGAUUUAAAAAUUGAAACUUAAAUAAUUUGGCGGUAUUUUAGUUUAUUUAGAGGAAUCUGUUUAAUAAUUGAUAGUCCACGAAUAAAUUUACUUAAUUUUUAAUUUUGUAUAUCGUUGAUUAUAAAAUAUUUUUUAAUAAAAAUAAUAUUUUGAAAAUUUUUAUUUGAGAUUAAAUCAAAUCAAGAUGCAGAUUAUAAUUAAGAAUAUAAUGGAUUACAAUAAGUUUAAUUUAAAUGAAUAUUAUUUUUUAAUAAUUAAAUUGAAGGUGGAUUUAAAUGUAAUUUUAUUUAGUUUAAUGAAAUGAUUUAAAAUUAAAAUAUGUACAUAUUGCCCGUCGCUUUCAUAUAUUUAAAUUGGGAUAAGUCGUAACAAAGUAGAGGUACUGGAAAGUGUUUCUAGAAAGUUCA
rnacentral:ncRNA from 1 species